UAUGGUAUCAGAGCCGCCCAUAUUUAAUUCAUAUUUGUUUUUGUUUUUGGAUAAAUUAAUUAAUUUUUCAGAACCUAAAUCCCUAAUUCAGAACCAAUUAGUUAAAAAUCCCCAAAUCUGGUGGAUUGUUCUCGAGGGUUCAAAACCCUAGCAUCCCAUAUGCGCGAACCCUAAUUUUCAAUUGGUGUUCCUCCUUCCUCGAGUGCCUUCAUCUUCAUCACUGGAACUGCGCCGUUGUGGUUCGCGUCACUGGAUAUGCAUCGAUCUCUGUCACAAAGGUUCUCCAGCGGUGCGCGACUCGUAGUAGUUUCAUCGUCGGCGGAAACGAUUCAGCUUCACGGCUGCGUCGACGGUGGUUCCUCCAGCAGUGCAGUCGCACGACCUCUGUUGCGACGACAGCGGCCUCUUUUCCCCUUCUGCAAAUGCACCUCUGUUUCUGGUUUUUCUGCAGGUUUGAGGAGGUGUAUUCUGCAGCGGCGGUGACUCGCGAUUGCUUCCUUGUCGCAGAUGGACUCGCGGUGGUGGCUCGCGUCCGAUCUAGUCCAGAGUCGUUCUGUUAUAGCGGGGGUUUCGCGUCUUCGUCUCAGCGGUGCAUGACCUGGACUCACGAGGGUGCUGCCAUGAUUGCGUUUGCUGGGGUUGAGGGGUGCGUAACGGUGGGUCUGCUGCUGCGACGGCCAUAGGGGCGUCUGGUUCUGGUUUCGUCGCAGCGGAGAUGGCUCGCUGCGGCGGAGAUCUCGCAGUGGCUUCCUGCAGCGGUGCGCAACCUCUGUUGCGAUGGUUCGUCGCGCUGCUCACGGUGGAUCGCAGUCAUGAUGGUGUUGCCGGUGUUGCGUACAAGUGUGUGAUGGUGUUCGCGUCGGUGGGUGCGUGAUAGUGUUCGCGUGAUGGUGCUGUGUCACGGUGUGGCGGCUAGGGUGGCCUCGCGGCAGCACCGAUCUGGUUCAUGACGGCGGCUUCGCAGAACAUGGUGGUGCGGUUUCUUGGCGCAGUGUCAAGCAAACUCUUACAGCUUCAUCCACCAGCAGCAGAAUUUGUAGUAUGCUAUAAGGCAUCUAAUCACGAGAUAUGACUGAGAAAUUUUGUCACAGAGCUGAAAAUUGUGGAAGGCAUUGAAAGACCACUUGUGACAAUAAAUCAGUUGUAUUGUAUUCCAACAACAAUAGGAGCUCGACUAAGUCGAAGCACAUCGACUUUAAGUUCCUAGUUGUUAAAGAAAGAGUACAGAGUGGACAGAUUUCCAUAGAACAUUUAGGGACAAACUCCAUGAUUGCAGAUCCUCUAACUAAAGGACUUCCACCCAAGGUCUUUCAUGAGCAUGUUGCUCACAUGGGUGUUUUACAGUUUGAGGAAUAUGAGGUUUAGGGAGAGAUACUCAUUUUCAUAUAUUUUAUGUUCUAUGUUUAAUUUCUUGUAUGCAUACAUUGAACUUUCAUACAUAUUUGGUUAUUUAUA